rnacentral:rRNA from 1 species
UACGGGGGGGGCAAGCGUUGUUCGGAAUUACUGGGCGUAAAGGGCUCGUAGGCGGCCAACUAAGUCGGAUGUGAAAUCCCCAAGCUUAACUUGGGAACUGCAUCCGAUACUGGAUGGCUUGAAUCCGGGAGAGGGAUGCAGAAUUCCAGGUGUAGCGGUGAAAUGCGUAGAUAUCUGGAGGAAUACCGGUGGCGAAGGCGGCUUUCUGGACAGUAACUGACGCUGAGGCGCGAAAGCUAGGGGAGCAAACAGG